UACAGGGGGGGCAAGCGUUGUUCGGAAUUACUGGGCGUAAAGGGCUCGUAGGUGGCCAACUAAGUCAGGGGUGAAAUCCCAGAGCUCAACUCUGGAACUGCCUUUGAUACUGGGUGUCUUGAGUAUGGAAGAGGUGAGUGGAAUUCCGAGUGUAGAGGUGAAAUUCGUAGAUAUUCGGAGGAACACCAGUGGCGAAGGCGGCUCACUGGUCCAUUACUGACGCUGAGGUGCGAAAGCGUGGGGAGCAAACAGG
rnacentral:rRNA from 1 species